UACAGAGGUCUCAAGCGUUGUUCGGAUUCAUUGGGCGUAAAGGGUGCGUAGGCGGCGCGGUAAGUCGGGUGUGAAAUCUCGGAGCUUAACUCCGAAACUGCAUUCGAUACUGCCGUGCUUGAGGACUGGAGAGGAGACUGGAAUUCAUGGUGUAGCAGUGAAAUGCGUAGAUAUCGUAAGGAAGACCAGUGGCGAAGGCGGGUCUCUGGACAGUUCCUGACGCUGAGGCACGAAGGCCAGGGGAGCAAACGGG
rnacentral:rRNA from 1 species